UUGUCAAAACAUAACCUUACUUUUCUUGAACGUAAAAAAAUAUAAAACCAUCUGAGGAAAAGAUAUUUUUGUGAAUUUCCUUAUAAGAAUCGCAAAGAGAGAGGAUGCAAAAUUAAGAGAGAAAUCUUACCAGAAAAAUUUUCCGGAAGUCCUGGUCAAAAUGACCCUUGUCCAUCGAGCUCUGUUUACCUGGUUUGUCGUGCUUUUAUUCCUCAUUUUGCUGUGUUUGCGCUUAGAGACCAGAACCCAUUGGAAUUGGUUCGUUGUGUUCAUUCCUCUUUGGAUCUUCGACAUGAUCCUUCUGAUCUAUGUCCUGAUUAAGAUCGUGACAAAGUGGAGGAACCUCACGCGCCUCAAGGAGCUUCUGAUUCAAUACCAGAGCUACAUAUGCACGGUUCUGCUCAAGAUAGCCAUUCAGAUAAUGAUUUGCCUAAAAUUGGAAUAUCCAGGCCUGGAACUCUCCAUUUUCACCGUGAUGAUCCCCAUCUGGAUCCUAUUACCAGCCACAAUUGGCUACGUUUUCAUGCACAUGGUUCGUGCUAAGUGAAUUUAGUCAAAUUUAGUGACCACUGGGGAUGUAUAUUUAAGCUGAGAAAUGGGUGAGUUAAUACAAAAGAAAAGAACUUGAUAAAAAUUUUCCGGAUGCUCGCAUUUUCUACGAUUCAUCGUCACUUCCUGGCGCCUGUCUCGGCUUCGGGCCACCCGCCCUCUUGGCCAUGAUGAUUUGAUCCACUUUGAGAAUCGUCGUGGCUGCUCCAACAGCAUACUUCAGGCCCCACAUUUUCGUGGAGAAUGCAUCGAAAAUCUUGGCUUCCUUGGCAUCCAGAGUGCCCGGAAGUUCACUCUCCAGGUCGAUUCCCUGCGCCAUAGCCCCUCCACGAUGUGCCAAGUGCAGAGCCUGAAGAACUUCAGUGGAAUUCACGCCGGAAUUGUCUGCCAAUGAUUUUGGAAACACUUCAAGAGCUGCAGCGAAUUUCCGGACAGCAUACUGAUCCAAUCCGGGCAGAGUGUCUGCAUACACAGCCAGGCGCUGCGACAAUUCAACUUCAGUGGCUCCAGCUCCAGCCAACAAUCGCCCAUCGCGAGUUAGAGCCUGAGAAAAAAGCAAAAAUUGGACAUUUUGCCAUUUUUCCGGAGUGACAGUACAUGGACAGAAAAUCGCGAGCAGCAGUGUAAUUUUUUUUCUUUCAAGUUUGUGAUUGUUUUUCCUUAGAAUUAAUAUUUCUUGUAAAUAAAUGUAAUAGAAUUAUAAAAAUAAAGAAAAUAUUUAA